GACAGAGGAUGCAAGCGUUAUCCGGAAUGAUUGGGCGUAAAGCGUCUGUAGGUGGCUUUCAAGUCCGCCGUCAAAUCCCAGGGCUCAACCCUGGACAGGCGGUGGAACUACCAAGCUGGAGUACGGUAGGGGCAGAGGGAAUUUCCGGUGGAGCGGUGAAAUGCAUUGAGAUCGGAAGAACACCAACGGCGAAAGCACUCUGCUGGGCCGACACUGACACUGAGAGACGAAAGCUAGGGGAGCAAAUGGGAUUAGGAAACCCCAGUGA
rnacentral:rRNA from 1 species